UACGAAGGGGGCUAGCGUUGCUCGGAAUUACUGGGCGUAAAGGGCGCGUAGGCGGAUAGUUUAGUCAGAGGUGAAAGCCCAGGGCUCAACCCUGGAAUUGCCUUUGAUACUGGCUAUCUUGAGUUCGGGAGAGGUGAGUGGAACUCCGAGUGUAGAGGUGAAAUUCGUAGAUAUUCGGAAGAACACCAGUGGCGAAGGCGGCCCGCUGGGCAACUGCUGACACUGAGGCGCGACAGCGUGGGGAGCAAACAGG
rnacentral:rRNA from 1 species